AAUCCUCUUUUUCUCUAGGUGUAGUAUCUGUUCUUCAUAGGUAUGUCUUUUUCAUAUGGUACAUACCAUAUUUGGUGCUGAUAUUUCCUUUUUCAGCUUAACCGCUAUGACGAGUCCACUGGACUCUGUCUUUUCGGUUAUACAAUUUUUGCUGCCCCCGUCCCUUGAGCUCUGCUUGCAACUCGAGGGCACGAUGACCUUGCUAUUGCAGUAUCGGCUUGUGUCGUCAGGGGAU
rnacentral:snRNA from 1 species